rnacentral:misc_RNA from 1 species
GUAGGUGAACCUGCGGAAGGAUCAUUAACGAAUUUAAAGAGUGCACUUAAUUGUGGCUCGACAUUUUCUACCAUUCACCCUAGUGCACUGUAAUACCUUUUUUUAUUAGACUCUACAAAGUUAUCGAAUGUAACACUUUUUUAUAAAGAAAUAAAACUUUUAACAACGGAUCUCUUGGCUCUCGCAUCGAUGAAGAACGCAGCAUCUGACUGACUCAGGUCUGU